CGCAGUACGGGCACGGUGCCGGGGUAAAACGUAGGGGGGGGUCGUUUGUCGGUUUGCUUGGUGGUAAAGAGCUCGUAGGUGGCUCGGUAAGUCGGGUGUGAAAUUUCGAGGCGUAACCUCGAGACGGCACCUGAUGCUGCGGUGGCUUGAGUCCGGUAGGGGAGCGUGGAAUUCCUGGUGUAGCGGUGAAAUGCGCAGAUAUCAGGAGGAACACCAGCGGCGAAGGCGGCGCUCUGGGCCGGUACUGACACUGAGGAGCGAAAGCGUGGGGAUCAAACAGGAUUAGAUACCCGGGUAGUC
rnacentral:rRNA from 1 species